rnacentral:rRNA from 1 species
UACAGAAGCCGUAAGAGAAAGACGGACCGGGAUGCAGAUCUUAUGACGAAGUUUGCAUCGGAACUCCAUGAGUUGAAGCAGACCGUGCAUGAACUAUUGAAAGAAAAAUCGGCUGCAGGGCCGCAUGAAGAUCAUGAAGCGGAUUGCGGAAGCCAGCAGCGGAGAAGCAGCGUGGCUUCCACGGAUGCCCCGCCUGGUGCUAGUGCACCGAUGAUCGAGAUUCGUGCACCGGAGCCUCACUACCCCGUGGAUGAUGUAAAGAAGAUGAAAGACUGUGAUCUGCAUUAUCCCGUGGGGAACGUUUCCACGAAGGUAGCUAGCGGCAGUGCUUUACCCUGUAAACCUGGAGCACUCCACCACAACAACCCCAUUCCAUAUGGCUAUGCUUGUGUCACGGUGGAAGACAUAGUCCAAGGGUUUGAGGACCUGGAGAUUGACAAACCUACACCCGAAGGGGAUAGCAGACUUGGAGAUGUCAAGCGC